rnacentral:rRNA from 2 species
AGAGUUUGAUCCUGGCUCAGAUUGAACGCUGGCGGCAGGCCUAACACAUGCAAGUCGAGCGGUAGAGAGAAGCUUGCUUCUCUUGAGAGCGGCGGACGGGUGAGUAAUGCCUAGGAAUCUGCCUAGUGGUGGGGGAUAACGUUCGGAAACGGACGCUAAUACCGCAUACGUCCUACGGGAGAAAGCGGGGGACCUUCGGGCCUCGCGCCAUUAGAUGAGCCUAGGUCGGAUUAGCUAGUUGGUGAGGUAAUGGCUCACCAAGGCGACGAUCCGUAACUGGUCUGAGAGGAUGAUCAGUCACACUGGAACUGAGACACGGUCCAGACUCCUACGGGAGGCAGCAGUGGGGAAUAUUGGACAAUGGGCGAAAGCCUGAUCCAGCCAUGCCGCGUGUGUGAAGAAGGUCUUCGGAUUGUAAAGCACUUUAAGUUGGGAGGAAGGGUAGUAACUUAAUACGUUGCUACUUUGACGUUACCGACAGAAUAAGCACCGGCUAACUUCGUGCCAGCAGCCGCGGUAAUACGAAGGGUGCAAGCGUUAAUCGGAAUUACUGGGCGUAAAGCGCGCGUAGGUGGUUCAGUAAGUUGGAAGUGAAAUCCCCGGGCUCAACCUGGGAACUGCUUUCAAAACUGCUGAGCUAGAGUACGGUAGAGGGUGGUGGAAUUUCCUGUGUAGCGGUGAAAUGCGUAGAUAUAGGAAGGAACACCAGUGGCGAAGGCGACCACCUGGACUGAUACUGACACUGAGGUGCGAAAGCGUGGGGAGCAAACAGGAUUAGAUACCCUGGUAGUCCACGCCGUAAACGAUGUCAACUAGCCGUUGGGAGUCUUGAACUCUUAGUGGCGCAGCUAACGCAUUAAGUUGACCGCCUGGGGAGUACGGCCGCAAG